GACACUGGUUGCCCGACAAAACCCUCACACCUUAAAAUGAAGCUCGCCUGACAAAACCCUCACGUCUUCGAGCUCUUAUGGAGUCGACCGCCGCUCCUCGCGCCAUUCCACUCUUCGCCAAGUCCCCGCGCUCCUCACAGGGCCCAAUCGAGUCGCAUCCGAAGCUGAAUAAGUUGCCCCUCUCGGCUCUUUCGAGGAAGGCCAGGCUCCCCGCCACGUUGUGCGCGUCCCGGAACGCCAUCGCCAUGAGCGCCGCCGCUCAAGGCCCUGACUCCAAGGAGGCGAAGCUGUGGGGAGGCCGGUUCGAGGAGGGCGUCUCGGAGACGGUCGAGAGGUUUACCGAGUCCAUCUCGUUCGAUAAGGAGCUGUAUAGGCAUGACAUCAUGGGAAGCAAGGCUCAUGCCAAUAUGUUGGCCAAACAGGGACUAAUGGAUAACUCUGACAGAGAUAAAAUUUUGGAAGGACUGAGUGAGAUUGAGAGACUGAUUGAAAGUGGAGAGUUUAAGUGGAGGGUUGAUAGAGAAGAUGUGCACAUGAACAUUGAAGCAGCACUAACGGAUAUGAUUGGCGAGCCGGCAAAGAAGCUUCAUACAGCUCGAAGCCGGAAUGAUCAAGUUCAGACGGAUUUUCGCCUGUGGUGUCGCGAUGCUAUUGAUAUGAUCAUUCCAUGUAUCAUACAUCUUCAGGUGGCUUUGGUGACCUUGGCUUUGAAGAAUGAGGGUGUAAUUAUUUUGGGAAACACACAUAUGAAGAGGGCCCAACCAGUUUUGUUGCGACAUCACCUCUUAGAAUAUGUUGAGCAGCUUGAGCAUGAUGUUCGUCGUUUAGUAGACUGCAGAGCCAGGCUGAACUUCUGCCCUCUUGGGGCAUGCGCUUUGGCCGGAACUGGCCUUCCAAUUGACAGAUUUAUGACUGCUGAGGAGCUAGGGUUCUCAGCUCCCAUGCGUAAUAGUAUUGAUGCAGUGUCGGACAGAGAUUUUGUGAUGGAGUUCUUGUCAGUCAAUUCUACAAUUGCUGCGCAUCUUUCACGGCUUGGUGAAGAGUGGGUUUUGUGGGCAUCAGAGGAGUAUGGCUUUAUCACAAUAAGUGACUUUGUUUCCACCGGAAGUAGUAUAAUGCCUCAAAACAAAAAUCCUGAUCCAAUGGAACUUGUCCUCGGAAAGUCAGCCAAAGUCAUUGGAGACCUCGUUACCCUCCUAACCUUGUGUAAGGGCCUUCCUCCGUCUUACAAUCGUGAUCUGCAGGAGGACAAGGAACCUGUAUUUGAUAGUAUAAAGAUAAUUAUGCGGAUGCUUGAAGUGUCAAUAGAAUUCGCUCAUAAUAUUAGCUUCAACAAGGAGCGUAUAUACAAGGCUUUGCCGGCUGGCCACCUUGAUGCCACAACACUUGCCGAUUAUCUCGUUAAGAAGGAACUGAUGGAUAACACGGACAGAGAUAAAAUCUUGGAAGGACUGAGUGAGAUUGAGAGACUGAUUGAAAGUGGAGAGUUUGAGUGGAUGGUUGAUAGAGAAGAUGCGCACGUGAACAUUAAAGCAGCACUAACUGAUGUGAUUGGCGAGCCGGCAAAGAAGCUCCAUACAGCUCGAAUCCAGAAUGAUCAAGUUCAGACUGAUUUUCGCCUGUGGUGUCAUGAUGCUAUUGAUAGGAUUGUUCCAUUUAUCAUAGAUGUUCAGGUGGCUUUGGUGACCUUGGCUUUGAAGAACAAGGGUGUAAUUAUUCCGGGAUAUACACAUAUGCAGAGGGCCCAACCGGUCUUGUUGCAACAUCACCUCUUAGCAUAUGUUGAGCAGCUUGAGCGUGAUAUUGGUCGUUUAGUAGACUGCAAAGCCAGGCUCAGCUUCUGCGCUCUUGGGGCAUGUUCUUUGGCCAGAACUGGCCUUCCAAUAGAUAGAUUUAUGAUUGCUGAGGAGCUAGGGUUCUCAGCUCCCGUGCGUAAUAGUAUUGAUGCAGCGUUGGACAGAGAUUUUGCUGUGGAGUUUUUGUCAGCUAAUUCUAUAAUAGCUGUGCAUCUUUCACGGCUUGGUGAAGAGUGGGUUUUGUGGGCAUCAGAGGAGUUUGGCUUUAUUACACCAAGUGACUCUGUUUCCACGGGAAGUAGUAUAAUGCCUCAAAAGAAAAAUCCUGAUCCAAUGGAACUUGUCCGCGGAAAGUCGGCCAGAGUCAUUGGAAACCUUGUUACCCUCCUGAACUCGUGGAAGGGCCUUCUUCCGUCUUAUAAUCGUGGUCGACAGGAGGACAAGGAUCCACUAUCUGAUAGCCUAAAUACAAUUGUGGGGAUGCUUGAUGUCUCGGCAGAAUUCGCUCAUAAUAUUAGCUUCAAUAAGGAGCGAAUAUGCAAGACUUUGCCAGCUGGCCACCUUGAUGCCACAACACUUGCUGAUUACCUUGUUAAAAAGGGCAUCCCUUUCCGAACCUCUCACGAUAUUGUGGGGAGAUCAGUAGCAUUUUGUGUCUCAAGGAACUGCCAGCUUCAGGAUGUCAGUUUGGAUGAACUACAUAGUAUCAGCCCGGUGUUUGAUAAGGAUGUGUAUGAGUACCUCGGUGUUGAGAAUGCCGUCAAGAAUUUCUGUUCAUAUGGAUCGACAGGAUCGGCGUUUGUCGCAAGUCAGAUGGACUACUGGGUUAGGAAGCUCAAUAUCAAAAGAAUCUGAUCCGAACUAAUUCAAUGAUGGCCAAUCAAUUUCUAUUGAUGAAGCAGUUUUCGAGCAAUGGUGUUUAUUUGAAAUCUCAUAGUGGGUAGGGAGGGUGAUGGAUUUUUGUGAUAUCUCAUAGUGCCUGGGAAAUGGGGAUAAGAUCGUUUUGAUAGCGCAUAGUGGGCAGAUCGAGGGUGAGGGAUCGUUUUGAUAUCACAUUUGAGCAAGUUGACAACAAGGUCCGUUUGGCUGGGGGAAGGGAAAACUCCAUGAUAAAGGAUUUUCAGUAAAAUGGUUGCCACGCGUCCAUCACCAACGUGGCGCUGCCCGGUACGCGCUCGACGGGCGAAAGGUCGCGUCAGCACUCGGACAGAAGAGAAGGGA